AAUAUCCAAUGCUGCUGGAAAUUCUUGGGUUUUCAAGAAUUCUCUCCCACAGCUGUUGAGGGGUAAUCAGACUAAACAUCUCUUUCUCAACCUUUUCAUUCAAAAUUUGGGUAAUGUACUAGACAUGGCGAAAUCACAUAAAUUCCCCGUUCCACUUCUAACGGUUGCUCAUCAGCAACUCAUAGCAGGAUCUUCACAUCCCCAACAACAUAAAGAUGACGAUUCUACAUUGCUCAAGGUUUGGGAAAGUUUACUUGGGGUAAAUUUAGCUGAUGCGGUCAAUUCUAAAAGUUACAACCCUGAGGAACUGGCCA
rnacentral:misc_RNA from 1 species